CAGAGAGCGAAAGAGAUCUCACGGUGGAGGAAACAUGGAGGUGCCACCGUGCAGCGAGAAGCUACUGCCGCCACGAAGCUACCGCCGCUGUUGCGCGCUCCGUCACCGCUAUUGCUAGGGCUACGCCGCCAUGACCGAGCUUCUACCACCCGAAACCCGCCGCCACUGCCACCAGAAACCGCCACUGAUGCCUAAGUCAGUUUGGAAUCGGAUGAAGAAACAUUAAGAAGAGUUACACUGCAUUUGGUGUAUAUGUUGUUGUAUUAAUUAGAUUAUUUUCUUCCCUCGUCUUUGUUAUUACAAGUUUGUAAGAGGGAUAGGAAUUGUAUGUUUUAUAUGUAUAAUAUAUUGAGUUAUUGUGUAAGGAGUCUUGUAUAUCAAUCUAUGCAUGCUUGUAUUUUUCUUAAGAUAAAGUAUUUAUUUCUAGUUUUCAAAGAAA